GACGAACGCUGGCGGCGUGCUUAACACAUGCAAGUCGAGCGGAAAGGCCCUGCUUUUGUGGGGUGCUCGAGUGGCGAACGGGUGAGUAACACGUGAGUAACCUGCCCUUGACUUUGGGAUAACUUCAGGAAACUGGGGCUAAUACCGGAUAGGAGCUCCUGCUGCAUGGUGGGGGUUGGAAAGUUUCGGCGGUUGGGGAUGGACUCGCGGCUUAUCAGCUUGUUGGUGGGGUAGUGGCUUACCAAGGCUUUGACGGGUAGCCGGCCUGAGAGGGUGACCGGCCACAUUGGGACUGAGAUACGGCCCAGACUCCUACGGGAGGCAGCAGUGGGGAAUAUUGCACAAUGGGCGGAAGCCUGAUGCAGCAACGCCGCGUGCGGGAUGCCGGCCUUCGGGUUGUAAACCGCUUUCGCCUGUGACGAAGCGUGAGUGACGGUAAUGGGUAAAGAAGCACCGGCUAACUACGUG
rnacentral:rRNA from 1 species